CUGAAUCAUGCAUUUUCUUUUCUUUUUUUUUUUUCCGUUGGCUUUGUCUAUGCUGGUGGCAUCCAGGGCAUUGCUUUGUCUCCCUGAUUAUGCUCAGGAUUCAAGGUCUUCUUAUUUGUGGGGAGGCAGGCUGCCCACUGGGACGGUUUUUAGUGUGUUUUCCAUUCCUGGCUCUUUAAUCUUUGUAGGCAUACUUCUCCGCCUUCCCACCACCCGGAUUC
rnacentral:lncRNA from 1 species